rnacentral:rRNA from 1 species
UACGAAGGGGGCUAGCGUUGCUCGGAAUCACUGGGCGUAAAGCGCACGUAGGCGGAUUGCUAAGUCAGGGGUGAAAUCCUGGAGCUCAACUCCAGAACUGCCUUUGAUACUGGCGAUCUCGAGUCCGGGAGAGGUGAGUGGAACUGCGAGUGUAGAGGUGAAAUUCGUAGAUAUUCGCAAGAACACCAGUGGCGAAGGCGGCUCACUGGCCCGGUACUGACGCUGAGGUGCGAAAGCGUGGGGGGCAAACAGG